GGGAUCAGACCCGAAACCGAGUGAUCUAGGCAUGGCCAGGUUGAAGGUACGGUAACACGUACUGGAGGACCGAACCCACAUCCGUUGAAAAGGAUCGGGAUGAGCUGUGCCUAGGGGUGAAAGGCCAAUCAAACUCGGAGAUAGCUGGUUCUCUGCGAAAUCUAUUUAGGUAGAGCGUCAUCCGUAUACCCUCGGGGGUAGAGCACUGGAUGGGUAAUGGGGCCCCACAGGCUUACUGAUCCUAACCAAACUCCGAAUACCGAGGAGUACUAGAUGGCAGACACACGGCGAAUGCUAACGUCCGUCGUGGAGAGGGAAACAACCCUGACCUACAGCUAAGGCCCCUAAUUCAUGGCUAAGUGGGAAAGCAGGUGAGACGACCAAAACAACCAGGAGGUUGGCUUAGAAGCAGCCACCCUUUAAAGAAAGCGUAAUAGCUCACUAGUCGAGUCGGCCUGCGCGGAAGAUGUAACGGGGCUAAAUUGGUAACCGAAGCUGCGGAUGCAUAGUUCCUUCGGGUUCUAUGCAUGGUAGAGGAGCGUUGUGUAAGCCUGCGAAGGUGGAUC
rnacentral:rRNA from 1 species